AGCGGUGGUGUUACUGGAUCCGAAUAGCAGAGAGUUCGUUGUUAAUGGUCAGCGUCUAAAGCUAUAUCUUGCUGAAACGACAAUCGCAUAAAGUGAAGAAAUUCCCUUAGACAAUCCUUCCUCGGCCUAAUAGGCUAAUCAAGUCAAGCUAGUGACUUUAACCAAAUGCUUGGUGGGAGGCAACCCACUAGUAAGUACAUAUUUAUAUUCUUUUCGUUUUUUUUUUUUUAAUUUUUUAGGAACUCACUUGCAGAUUUAAAAACAAGAAAACCCGAACUCA
rnacentral:lncRNA from 1 species